rnacentral:rRNA from 1 species
GACGAACGCUGGCGGCGCGCUUAACACAUGCAAGUCGAACGGAAAGGCCCUGCUUUUGUGGGGUGCUCGAGUGGCGAACGGGUGAGUAACACGUGAGUAACCUGCCCUUGACUUUGGGAUAACUUCAUGAAACUGGGGCUAAUACCGGAUAGGAGCUCCUGCUGCAUGGUGGGGGUUGGAAAGUUUCGGCGGUUGGGGAUGGACUCGCGGCUUAUCAGCUUGUUGGUGGGGUAGUGGCUUACCAAGGCUUUGACGGGUAGCCGGCCUGAGAGGGUGACCGGCCACAUUGGGACGGAGAUACGGCCCAGACUCCUACGGGAGGCAGCAGUGGGGAAUAUUGCACAAUGGGCUGAAGCCUGAUGCAGCAACGCCGCGUGCGGGAUGACGGCCUUCGGGUUGUAAACCGCUUUCGCCUGUGACGAAGCGUGAGUGACGGUAAUGGGUAAAGAAGCACCGGCUAACUACGUG